UGUUUCAGAGUCUAGCAUGUAAUGCCUUUGGAGCACACAGGUACAGCAGAGUCUGAGCGACGUGAGGCAAACAUGGCCCAAGCACCUGCUGAUUCAAGUAAUGUGGACACAGCUGAUCCAGAGGAGAGUUCUCCAAAUAUGAUAGUCUACAGAAAGAUUGAAGACAUUGUUACAAAGAUGCAGGAUGACAAAACAGGAGGAGUUCCCAUCCGCACUGUCAAGAGCUUUCUGUCCAAAAUCCCCAGCGUCGUCACUGGUACUGAUAUUGUGCAGUGGCUUAUGAAGAACCUCAGCAUUGAGGAUCCAGCAGAAGCAAUACACCUGGGGAGCCUCAUUGCUGCACAGGGUUAUGUCUUUCCGAUCUCAGACCACGUCCUUAGCCUGAAAGAUGAUGGGACAUUCUAUCGUUUUCAGGCACCGUACUUCUGGCCUUCAAACUGCUGGGAACCAGAAAACACAGAUUACGCCAUUUAUCUUUGCAAACGGACCAUGCAGAACAAAGCCAGGCUGGAGCUGGCGGAUUAUGAAGCCGAAAACUUAGCAAGACUUCAAAGAGCAUUUGCAAGAAAGUGGGAAUUCAUCUUCAUGCAAGCUGAGGCCCAAGUGAAAAUCGACAGGAAAAAGGAUAAAACAGAAAGAAAGAUUCUGGACAGCCAGGAAAGAGCAUUCUGGGAUGUGCAUAGGCCUGUGCCAGGCUGUGUCAACACCACAGAAAUGGACAUUAGAAAGUGUCGUCGUAUGAAAAACCCACAGAAGGUGAAAAAGUCAGUCUAUGGCGUUACAGAGGAGUCUCAGUCCCAGAGCCCUGUCCACAUGCCCUCCCAACCUCUGCGCAAAACCACAAAGGAGGAUUUCCGGAAACAAAUAGCUUUUCUGAACAUGCAGAUUGAGAGGCAUUGUUUAAAGAUGUCCAAAGUAGCAGAAAGUUUAAUAGCCUACACAGAGCAGUAUGUGGAAUAUGACCCUUUUAUAACUCCUGCCGAGCCUUCCAAUCCUUGGAUAAGUGAUGACACAGCGUUGUGGGACAUUGAAAUGAGCAAAGAACCUAGUCAGCAGCGUGUGAAGAGAUGGGGUUUCUCCAUGGAUGAGGUGCUGAAGGACCCAGUAGGACGAGAUCAGUUCCUUCGUUUCCUGGAAUCGGAAUUCAGCUCAGAAAACCUCAGGUUUUGGUUGGCUGUCCAAGAUCUCAAGAAACAACCUCUACAGGAUGUAACCACUAGAGUGGAAGAAAUCUGGCAAGAGUUUCUAGCUCCUGGGGCCCAAAGUGCUAUCAACCUGGAUUCCCACAGCUAUGAGAAAACAAGCCAAAAUGUCAAAGACCCAGGGAGAUACACAUAUGAAGAUGCACAGGUCAUUAUGAAGAACUCACUAGGAGUACAUGGAAUCUCCUUGAGAAACCUUAGGAGGAGCACAUUUACAAGCUGAUGAAGAGUGACAGCUAUGCGCGCUUCCUGCGUUCGAACGCUUACCAGGACUUACUGCUGGCGAAGAAGAAGGGAAAGUCUCUGGCAAGCAAGCGUCUCACGGGCCUGAUGCAGUCCUCCUGACAGCUUCAUCCGACCGCCCCGUGGGAGACACCUGGGACCACUGCUGAGGACGGGGCAUUUUGGGGAGAGCAGGUCCCCGUGGGGGAGAGAGCCUGAGCAAGCGCAAGUGGAGAGCCAUGUGCCGGGAGAGUGCCUCUCUGCACAGUUUACAUCGACACUUUCCUCCCCACACAGCUUCACACGUGCUGAACUCUUUGCAGGUGCUUUGUUUCUGACUGGGGUUUGGAGGAGCACACUUCACCAUAGGCAGGAGCUGAACAAGGCAAGAGCUCGCUGUCUUGUUACAGGGAAUGGACCCAACCGCAGCCUGGAGAAAGAAGAGCUGCGAGAGAUCGGUGGUUUGCCUUCAUCUCUUCUCUCCCUGGCACACACAUGGCUGAAUAGAUGGCACCGCAGUCUCACAUGCUCCCUUGCUUGUGGCCAUCUGGACCAAAUGAAAUAUCUACUGGAAGCUGCUGCUGCUUCUCACAAAAUCUCAAAUGCAGAUUCGUUGACUUUGACAUUUGUUUUUCUUUCCUAUGUCUCCUCUCCUUUAAAGCAAUGUUAAAAAGAAAUAGAGGCCACUGUUUUGAGUUCAUCACUCGCUGUUCUUCCAAUAGCAUGUAGCAUGUCCAGAGAUGAUGGGCAGAUCCUCAGCUGAAGUCAGGAGAGUGUGAGUGAUUUUCAUCACCUGAGGAUCUGCACCACUGAGUCAGAAUCUUAUCCUGGUGCAGAUCCUCUGAUGUCAGUGGAAUCGGUCUGCAUGUGUGUGUAGUGCAAAUGUGAUCAGACUCUACAUAAUGCUGAAGAAGUGAUGUUUUAGAUGUGUAAUGUACACACACACACAGAGUAUUUAAAAGUGAGUUGGUUUAUAUUGUAUUUGGGUUUCUAUUUAUUUAAGGGUUUGCAUACUUCCUCAAUGGUGGAUGUUCAGGCUGUACUCCAAGCAGACAGAAAUGGACUUUAGCUCCAGUCCCAGAGGUCUAAAAUCUGCUCGUGUGCAUACCAGAAAAAGCAACUCUCCUGUGGACAGAUGUCAAAAUCCCACUGUACAGUGAGGAGGAAAUUGAUGGAGAUGGGUCUGGCAGAAGUAGGAUGUGAAUGGGCAGGGCACUGAGUGCCAGGUAAACCUUCCUAAACCACAGUGCUCAGAUAAUUGACUGCAUCAAGAAGCUCCAUUGUAACAGUGAAAUUGUACCACUGGAGGAAAUGAGCUUUCACUAAAACUCAUCUGACCUACAGCCCAUGAACACAACUGCAAGAGAUGACCUGGUAGCUUGUUUCAAUCUGUCAGGAGUGCAAAGGCUAGGCUGAGAACAGAAUUGAAGCAACUUUAGUUAAAACCCCCAUGUGCACUAGCUGCAGGUAGGAAACUGGACUGCAUUCCCUUACAGUGUAUUGCCUAUAUAUGAACAUUUCAAGGCUCAAUUGACUUAGUGCCACAAACCCUCUUGUAUUUCUCAAGCAAUUCAGAUCUGAAGCAUAUGUGAAAAUAGCCAUUUCUUGUUCUUCUUUCAUGCCAAGGCAAGUUGGCUUUUUGUGCAGGUCAUAGAAAUUAAUAUAUGGCUAUUAGUCUGCAUUCCUACCUAGGCAAGACCAUCUAGCAAAGUAGACAGCUGCCCAUCAGCAGUAUUCACUUCUGAGGCAAAUAUUACUCUAAUAUCUAAACUCUGUGUGUGUACAAAAUCAGGCCAGAAUAGUUUCUGUCACAAAGACGCCCUUCCCUCUUCACCCAUUACAUUUCUCACUGCUACCUCUUUUUUUAUCCUCCAGAAAAAUAUCUAUUAUUGAUUUUACUUAAGGUCCACAAGAUCCUCUAUGCCUGCAUGUGUGUACAGUAGAAUAUGAUGUGUGGCAUUUGUUCUUCACACGCACCUGUUUGCAUUAACAGCUUGUUGUCUGAGGUCCUCAUAUCAAAUGCAUCUUACAUAUACACACAGUUCCAGGACUGCAGAACCAUCAUAGAUGUGUCCUGCCUUUGAAGGGGACAUUUGAUGCUCUCCAAACUGUCACUUAGCAGGUCUUUGCAGGACCUGUUUGUCCUCUGUUGUCCACUCAGCCAAAGGGUCCCCUUGGGUAACAGCAGGGUCUUCACAGAACAGGCCCAGUUGUCCAUUUGUGCAUAUUCUUACAUGUCCUUUAUGUCCUCCCUAGGAACAUGCAAAGGCUGGCUCUUCUCAGAGCCUUGCUGGUGAUGGGUUUGUGUCAAACCUGGCCUUGCUGUGUGUCACUGAGGCUCUGUAAGCCAGCAGCUGCUCACACUCCAAGCUACUCUACUGCCAGGCCUACCCAGCCUCUAAACUGAGGCAUUUUCCACAGGAUGUCACUCAUGAAUUUCCAAACUGGUCUGCAGAGCAUUCCUGAGUGGGAUACACACAUAAAGCAGAGACAGGAAAGUGUCGCCAGGGUGGUCUCUCCUGGGGAAAGGAUGGGUAGCUCCAUGGAAGUACUCUUCAGCGUCCUGUAGCACGGAGGCACACACGGGCAUGACUGGAGGGUGAUUGUGGCUGCAUGAGGCAGGUGGAAUUUGGGUUAUGGUAUGUGCAGGGAGCAGCAAUGCCAGACUUAAAGUUGGAGAUGUGCCAUACGCCAGGAUCGAAACGCCUUGCCAUGUCCAUCCUACUCUGUUGCUGCAGGAUGGUCGUGUUGGCUGCCACAAUGUUUUGCCUGUGGGGAAUAUGCUGUGUUUGAACAGUUGAGGCAUAGAGGAUAUUUUUACAGCCACAGAGAGCAUGCAUAUGGGCAUACAUCAGGGGGCCUGGAUGCUGAACAGCUUGCCAUUUGAAUGUACACUUGUGCAAGCUAAUCUGCUCAGUAAUGGCUAGCCGAGCGGACAGAGCUGCAUGCUCUCUGGAGAGAGGAGAGCUCUGCUCCUCAUUUCCCGACUAAAUUUCUCUAAACCAAACAUGAGAGUAGACAAGACCUUCUCCUGGGAACAUGUAUGAACUGCUCUUCACUUGUCUUUUACUUCCCAUGUAACUACUUCCACAUGAACCACAUCCUUGAAUUAUUGCUUUUUAAUGAUACUGCUUAUUCCAAGUGAUGCUACUCUUGUACACUCACCCGUAUCCCAGUGAGUGUUGCAAGCAGUAAUCUGCUGCUGUGUAACCGUCCCAUGUCUUCCAGCUACCUCAUCAUCCUGACGAUGAGUUAGAAGAUCAGCUUUUCACCUCUAUUCAUGUUUCUAAAUGCCAUUGUUUCAAGGAAAGGCAGUUGGGAAAGCAUUUAUGAUGUCCACGCUGUGCAAGCUUAGCUACAAAGCUUCCCAUACUUGCAGGGCUAUGGCUGUGAAAUAUGGCUGUGCACUGUUAUUUGGGUAAUUGAGUAUCUCAGCUGUCUGUGGCUAUUGUGGUGAAAUGGCACCAGGACAAGCACUAGGAGGGUUCCAGAAGCCUGUGCAGACAGCACUGGGCUAGAGCAAAUGGAUUAAUGUACUCUGAGUAUAACUCAGCACUAAGAUCCCAUAGAGUACUGUAAUAAAAUGGUAGCAGGGCAGCCAUAAAAAUAGUGGCAGUAAGCUGACAUAAUAAUACCAGGAUAAAUGUAGCAAUAAGGUACCAGAGGCUGGGGCAGUGAAGUAGCAUUUUGAUAAUGCAGCAAUAAGACACAACAGGCUGCUGCAGGAAGUUAGUCUGGGGAGCAAGGCAGUAAUAACAGUGCGUGUGGACAAACAGCGGCGUGCUUGUACCGGGUACUGCAGCAAUAAAGCUAACACGAGGUCUCCUAGUAAUAAUAAGUUACUACAGUAACACCACCACCAUGCACUGUAAAGUUGUACCAGGAUGUUUCCAUGCUGCAGUGAAAUCUUACAAGAGGUGGUAGUGAGACAACGAAGACAAAAUAAGCCCCAUUUUGAACUGCAAAAUAUUAAUUGGUUGUCAGCACCCCAAAUUCUGGAGGGAUUCCAGCAAUACCAGUCUUAUCACUCCCUGUAUUCAAGGAAGUUGGGGCAGAAGUGUUGUUCUCCCCCCCCCCCCCCAUCCAGUCUAUUAUUUUGGUCUGAAAGCGUGAAAUGGAUUCAUGUCUCUUCAGCCAAAAUGCUACAGACUGUGGUGAAGUUCUUGUUAGUCCCUACUCAGGUGAACCCCUGGUAAUUUUGAUGAGUCCUUUGCCUUGGACAGGAUUUAGCACUCUCAUCUGGCAUGGGUGAUGCUUUUAGUCUACAGUUAUUUCUGUUUUGGGAUGGGGGAAGGGGAGCCCAGCUACAGAAAUCUGACUGUACUGGUCUGUUUCCUGAAAUCCACAAAUAAAUUGAGCAUCCUGGAAAAGUCAAAGCAAUAA